rnacentral:lncRNA from 1 species
AUUGCAGCUCCUGGUGACCUCCUGGUGUCAUCCAGAAGGACCUGGACAGGCUGGAGAGGUGGGCCCAGGUGAACCUCAUGAGGUUCAACAAGAACAAGUGCAAGGUUCUGCACCUGGGCUGGAACAAUCCUCGCCAUCAAUACAGACUGGGGGGUGAGGUAUUAGAAAGCAGCCCUGAGGAAAGGGACUUGGGGGUGCUGGUGGACGAGAAGCUGGACAUGAGCAGGCAGUGUGCACUUGCAGCCCAGAAGGCCAAUCGCAUCCUGGGCUGCAUCAAAAGAUGCGUUGCCAGCAGGUCCAGAGAGGUGAUUCUGCCACUUUACUCUGCUCUGGUGAGACCUCACCUGGAGUAUUGUGUGCAGGUCUGGAGCCCUCAAUAUAGGAAAGAUAUGGACCUGAUGGAGAGGGUCCAGAGGAGGGCCACAAGGAUGAUCAGGGGGAUGGAGCACCUCUGCUACGAGGACAGGCUGAGGGAGCUGGGGUUGUUCAGCCUGAAGAAGAGGAGGCUCCGGGGAGACCGAAUAGCGGCCUUCCAGUACCUGAAGGGGGCCUACAGGAAGGCUGGGGAGAGCCUGUUUAGAAAGGCCUGUAGUGACAGGACGAGGGGCAAUGGCUUUAAGCUGGAGGGGAACAGAUUUAGAUUGGAGAUUAGGAGAAAGUUCUUUACUGUGAGGGUGGUGGAGCACUGGAACAGGUUGCCCAGGGAGGUGGUUGAGGCCCCUUCCCUGGAGAUAUUCAAGGUGAGGCNGCCUACAGGAAGGCUGGGGAGAGCCUGUUUAGAAAGGCCUGUAGUGACAGGACGAGGGGCAAUGGCUUUAAGCUGGAGGGGAACAGAUUUAGAUUGGAGAUUAGGAGAAAGUUCUUUACUGUGAGGGUGGUGGAGCACUGGAACAGGUUGCCCAGGGAGGUGGUUGAGGCCCCUUCCCUGGAGAUAUUCAAGGUGAGGCUCAUCGAGGCCCUGGGCAACCUGGUCUAGUUGGGGGUGUCCCUGCUGACUGCGGGGAGGUGGGACUAGAUGACCUUUGGAGGUCCCUUCUGGCCUGGGCAAUUCUAUGAUUCUAUGACCUGGUGUCCAGGACAGCACCCUCCUCCUGCUGAACCCUCCUCUUAGGUCAGUCCAUCUCUCUCUGAAGCCCCUUAGCUAUGAUUACCCCCAAUUCAAC